UGGGUGAUGAAAAAUGAAGAGAAAAAAUAUUUUUAUGAAAUGACAUUUUUAACCAAUAUUAUAUAUAAUAAAUAACCUGAAAUGCCAAAAAAAUGUCAAAAUAAGCAAAGCAUUUUUUUUUUUGAAAUGAAAAAUAAGCAAAGCAUAAUCCAACCCGUAUUCCAUUCUUUUAUUUUAUUUUUGGAGAAAGUGGUCUUUUUUUUUGAAAGUGGUCGUAAAUAUAAUGGGCUAGUCUGAAAAUUGAAUUCCGACCCAAGAUCCAAUUCACUCUUCGAUUACAUGAAACCCUAAUCUUCAUCUAUAAAUUGUGACCAGCUUCUUCCUCAUUCUCUACGCAACUGUUUAGCGGGGUUUGGUUUAGAGGGAAAAGCGAGGUGACGAUAUCACUUCAAUGGUAUGUCAAUUCACUGAUACUAUCGUGAUGUAUUCAUGAAUCCCGACAGGUUCUGAUCGCUACUUCAUUCCCUCUUUGGUCUUUUGUUUUAGCUCAAACAUUUUUAGCGUACAUUGUUUUUUGUCUUUAGAAAUUGAACACAUAAUGGGCAUGUGAUGAAUCUCAUUUUAACUAAUGGGUAAUUUGCGUCUGAAAUUCAUUGAUGCUUUAUUCACCUUGGAGAACUGAUGCCUUUAUGGUUCAUAUUUUUU